rnacentral:misc_RNA from 2 species
AGCAGCCGCGGUAAUUCCAGCUCCAAUAGCGUAUAUUAAAGUUGUUGCAGUUAAAAAGCUCGUAGUUGAACUUCGGGGUUUACUCAUUGGUCAGGCUUAAUUGUCUGUACUGGUGAGAUAAAUCUCUACCUUCUGAGGAACUUUCAUGCCAUUUAUUUGGUGUGAUUGGAAAUCAGGACUGUUACUUUGAAAAAAUUAGAGUGUUUAAAGCAGGCUAACGUCUGAAUACAUUAGCAUGGAAUAAUGAAAUAGGACGGAUUGAUUCUAUUUCGUUGGUUUCUAGGAUCACCGUAAUGAUUAAUAGGGAUAGUUGGGGGCAUUAGUAUUCAAUUGUCAGAGGUGAAAUUCUUGGACUUAUUGAAGACUAACUACUGCGAAAGCAUUUGCCAAGGAUGUUUUCAUUAAUCAAGAACGAAAGUUAGGGGAUCGAAGACGAUCAGAUACCGUCGUAGUCUUAACCAUAAACUAUGCCGACUAGGAAUCAGACGAUGUU